rnacentral:rRNA from 1 species
AUGUUUAAUAGUCAUAUUCAUUUUGACGUUUAGCUGCAGAAGAAGCACCGGCUAACUCCGUGCCAGCAGCCGCGGUAAUACGGAGGGUGCGAGCGUUAAUCGGAAUUACUGGGCGUUAAAGCGCAUGCAGGUGGUUUGUUAAGUCAGAUGUGAAAGCCCGGGGCUCAACCUCGGAAUUGCAUUUGAAACUGGCAAACUAGAGUACUGUAGAGGGGGUAGAAGUUUCAGGUGUAGCGGUGAAAUGCGUAGAGAUCUGAAGGAAUACCGGUGGCGAAGGCGGCCCCCUGGACAGAUACUGACACUCAGAUGCGAAAGCGUGGGGAGCAAACAGGAUUAGAUACCCUGGUAG